UGUAGACGCCAUCUCCAUGCCAUGCCCUGAUUGGCCUAAUGCAGAUGAUUCAACUGAUUAGGGUUGACCAGUGGUCAAAACCCUAAUCUCAAGGUAUCUGAUCAAUCUUCUUGAAUCUCUUGGAUGAUAGCAAGACCAUGAUGAUGAUGAUGUACCAUAGCAACCAAGAUCAAGCUCAAUCUUCUUGAGAAAUCAUGAAACCCUAAUUUGAAUCACACACCCUCAGAUGGCUAAUGAUCCAGUCCAUUCAAUCAGUGAAACCCUCAGCUUGAAUCUCAACCUCUUAUCUUCUGA
rnacentral:lncRNA from 1 species